rnacentral:rRNA from 1 species
UACGUAGGGGGCAAGCGUUGUCCGGAAUCAUUGGGCGUAAAGAGCUCGUAGGCGGUUUGUCGCGUCUGCCGUGAAAGUCCGGGGCUCAACUCCGGAUCUGCGGUGGGUACGGGCAGACUAGAGUGAUGUAGGGGAGACUGGAAUUCCUGGUGUAGCGGUGAAAUGCGCAGAUAUCUGGAGGAAUACCGGUGGCGAAGGCGGCAUCCUGGACCGAGAUUGACACUGAUGAGCGAAAGCUAGGGGAGCAAACGGG